rnacentral:tRNA from 1 species
GUGUCUGUAGCCUAGUGGUAAAAGGCAGCACUAUAGAUGCUGAGUUCAUGGGUUUGAAUCCCACCAGACACA